rnacentral:rRNA from 1 species
AAUGAACGUUGGCGGCGUGGAUUAGGCAUGCAAGUCGAGCGCGAUAUGUAGCAAUACAUGGAGAGCGGCGAAAGGGAGAGUAAUACGUAGGUAUCUACCCUCGGGUCUGGGAUAGCAGCGGGAAACUGCUGGUAAUACCAGAUAACGUCUCCGGACCAAAGGUGUGAUUCCACCUGAGGAGGAGCCUACGGCCUAUUAGCUAGUUGGUAGGGUAACGGCCUACCAAGGCAAAGAUGGGUAUGGGGUGUGAGAGCAUGCCCCCACUCACUGGGACUGAGACACUGCCCAGACACCUACGGGUGGCUGCAGUCGAGAAUCUUCGGCAAUGGGCGAAAGCCUGACCGAGCGACGCCGCGUGCGGGAUGAAGACCUUCGGGUUGUAAACCGCUGUCGUAGUGGAGGAAAUGUAGGAGAGUUAUCUCUUCUACUUGACUAAUACUAGGAGGAAGGACCGGCUAAUCUCGUGCCAGCCGCCGCAGUAACAC